rnacentral:rRNA from 1 species
GUAAGGAAUAUUGGUCAAUGGGGGCAACCCUGAACCAGCCAUGCCGCGUGAAGGAUGAAGGCGUUAUGCGUUGUAAACUUCUUUUGUAUGGGAAGAAUGACAGGGAUUUAUCCUUGGAGAGACGGUACCAUACGAAUAAGCACCGGCUAACUCCGUGCCAGCAGCCGCGGUAAUACGGAGGGUGCAAGCGUUAUCCGGAAUCACUGGGUUUAAAGGGUACGUAGGCGGUUAAUUAAGUCAGUAGUGAAAGACUGUCGCUCAACGACGGAUGUGCUAUUGAUACUGGUUAACUUGAAUCAUGUUAGAGUUGGCGGAAUGGGUCAUGUAGCGGUGAAAUGCUUAGAUAUGACUUGGAACACCGAUAGCGAAGGCAGCUGACUGAGCCUUGAUUGACGCUGAGGUACGAAAGUGUGGGUAGCGAACAGGAUUAGAAACCCUAGUAGUCC